AGCAGGAACAGAUGAACACUUAAGAAACAAAGAUCCUGUUUUCAUGCAAAUGCCUUUUGUCAUCAAGAACAAGGUUAGAGAAAUUCAGAAAAUAUAUGCAGGACUCAGGCACUUUGCCAAUGGGGUCAUGACUGGAUGAAAACCUCCAGAUAGUGGGAACAGAAGAAAAUCAUCAGAAACAGGGCCAAGAGAAUUUGGCCCUCUUGGUUUCUCAUGUCAAAGCUUAGCUGAGCUAUUUUUUUUCCACUUCUUCAAAGCCAAAAAUUCUCCAAUUUCAGAAGUAUCACUAACUGAAGAAAUACUCAGGACCUCCAGAAGAUGAUUCACACCAGGUUCUGAAUCACCCUUGUGAAGUGCAUCACUGCCCGCAGAAGGAAGGGAGUGAUGAACAUUUACAAAGCACUUCUGUAGCAGAGCUCUGGCUGAGAGGGUCUUACACUCUUCCCCUGGGAAUGGAACUGGUUUUUGUACAGUUGUCUGAGCAGCCCCCAGGACCAUUCCUUUCUGCAGCUAGCUAGAAGACAUCUGUCCUUCCACAUCAAUGGCAGAUGUAAUACAGAUAUCAAUUUUAUUUGGCACAAAAGCUACUCUAGCACACCAGAAGCAGGGAAGAAGAUCACAGCCUCCCCUUCCACCUGCCCCAGCUGCCUGGAGUGGAGCCUUCACAGCUGUAGCACUACAUUAGAUCAAGGAGAGGAGGAGCUCUGCUCCCACCCCACCCUCCUGCCAACACAAGGACACUUCCCAGCUGCCUGCUGUGAUGCUGAACACAAAGUCCAGCACAACAGAAUCACAGAUCCCCCACCCUUAUGCUGCAGUUUCUGUCAGGAUGGAAAUACUGUGUUUCACUGCUACAAAUGCAACUGUACCCACACUUGUCAUUGGUGUCACAGUAGUACUACAGAACCACUCCUGAGAAGAAAUUAUUUCUGACUCUACCAUAAGGUUUGUCCUAUGUGCUGUACCUAAGAUGUAGUCACAGAAAAAAAUAAAAGCCAA